rnacentral:rRNA from 5 species
GGUCAAGUGAAGAAGCGCAUACGGUGGAUGCCUUGGCAGUCAGAGGCGAUGAAAGACGUGGUAGCCUGCGAAAAGCUUCGGGGAGUCGGCAAACAGACUUUGAUCCGGAGAUCUCUGAAUGGGGGAACCCACCUAGGAUAACCUAGGUAUCUUGUACUGAAUCCAUAGGUGCAAGAGGCGAACCAGGGGAACUGAAACAUCUAAGUACCCUGAGGAAAAGAAAUCAACCGAGAUUCCCUUAGUAGUGGCGAGCGAACGGGGAUUAGCCCUUAAGCUUCAUUGAUUUUAGCGGAACGCUCUGGAAAGUGCGGCCAUAGUGGGUGAUAGCCCCGUACGCGAAAGGAUCUUUGAAGUGAAAUCGAGUAGGACGGAGCACGAGAAACUUUGUCUGAACAUGGGGGGACCAUCCUCCAAGGCUAAAUACUACUGACUGACCGAUAGUGAACCAGUACCGUGAGGGAAAGGCGAAAAGAACCCCGGAGAGGGGAGUGAAAUAGAACCUGAAACCGUAUGCGUACAAGCAGUGGGAGCCUACUUGUUAGGUGACUGCGUACCUUUUGUAUAAUGGGUCAGCGACUUAUAUUCAGUGGCAAGCUUAACCGUAUAGGGUAGGCGUAGCGAAAGCGAGUCUUAAUAGGGCGUUUAGUCGCUGGGUAUAGACCCGAAACCGGGCGAUCUAUCCAUGAGCAGGUUGAAGGUUAGGUAACACUGACUGGAGGACCGAACCCACUCCCGUUGAAAAGGUAGGGGAUGACUUGUGGAUCGGAGUGAAAGGCUAAUCAAGCUCGGAGAUAGCUGGUUCUCCUCGAAAGCUAUUUAGGUAGCGCCUCAUGUAUCACUCUGGGGGGUAGAGCACUGUUUCGGCUAGGGGGUCAUCCCGACUUACCAAACCGAUGCAAACUCCGAAUACCCAGAAGUGCCGAGCAUGGGAGACACACGGCGGGUGCUAACGUCCGUCGUGAAAAGGGAAACAACCCAGACCGCCAGCUAAGGUCCCAAAGUUGUGGUUAAGUGGUAAACGAUGUGGGAAGGCUUAGACAGCUAGGAGGUUGGCUUAGAAGCAGCCAUCCUUUAAAGAAAGCGUAAUAGCUCACUAGUCGAGUCGGCCUGCGCGGAAGAUGUAACGGGGCUCAAACCACACACCGAAGCUGCGGGUGUCACGUAAGUGACGCGGUAGAGGAGCGUUCUGUAAGCCUGUGAAGGUGAGUUGAGAAGCUUGCUGGAGGUAUCAGAAGUGCGAAUGCUGACAUGAGUAACGACAAUGGGUGUGAAAAACACCCACGCCGAAAGACCAAGGGUUCCUGCGCAACGUUAAUCGACGCAGGGUUAGUCGGUUCCUAAGGCGAGGCUGAAAAGCGUAGUCGAUGGGAAACAGGUUAAUAUUCCUGUACUUCUGGUUACUGCGAUGGAGGGACGGAGAAGGCUAGGCCAGCUUGGCGUUGGUUGUCCAAGUUUAAGGUGGUAGGCUGAAAUCUUAGGUAAAUCCGGGGUUUCAAGGCCGAGAGCUGAUGACGAGUCGUCUUUUAGAUGACGAAGUGGUUGAUGCCAUGCUUCCAAGAAAAGCUUCUAAGCUUCAGGUAACCAGGAACCGUACCCCAAACCGACACAGGUGGUCGGGUAGAGAAUACCAAGGCGCUUGAGAGAACUCGGGUGAAGGAACUAGGCAAAAUGGCACCGUAACUUCGGGAGAAGGUGCGCCGGCUAGGGUGAAGGAUUUACUCCGUAAGCUCUGGCUGGUCGAAGAUACCAGGCCGCUGCGACUGUUUAUUAAAAACACAGCACUCUGCAAACACGAAAGUGGACGUAUAGGGUGUGACGCCUGCCCGGUGCCGGAAGGUUAAUUGAUGGGGUUAGCGCAAGCGAAGCUCUUGAUCGAAGCCCCGGUAAACGGCGGCCGUAACUAUAACGGUCCUAAGGUAGCGAAAUUCCUUGUCGGGUAAGUUCCGACCUGCACGAAUGGCGUAACGAUGGCGGCGCUGUCUCCACCCGAGACUCAGUGAAAUUGAAAUCGCUGUGAAGAUGCAGUGUAUCCGCGGCUAGACGGAAAGACCCCGUGAACCUUUACUGUAGCUUUGCACUGGACUUUGAGCCUGCUUGUGUAGGAUAGGUGGGAGGCUUUGAAGCGUGGACGCCAGUUCGCGUGGAGCCAUCCUUGAAAUACCACCCUGGCAUGCUUGAGGUUCUAACUCUGGUCCGUAAUCCGGAUCGAGGACAGUGUAUGGUGGGCAGUUUGACUGGGGCGGUCUCCUCCUAAAGAGUAACGGAGGAGUACGAAGGUGCGCUCAGACCGGUCGGAAAUCGGUCGCAGAGUAUAAAGGCAAAAGCGCGCUUGACUGCGAGACAGACACGUCGAGCAGGUACGAAAGUAGGUCUUAGUGAUCCGGUGGUUCUGUAUGGAAGGGCCAUCGCUCAACGGAUAAAAGGUACUCCGGGGAUAACAGGCUGAUACCGCCCAAGAGUUCAUAUCGACGGCGGUGUUUGGCACCUCGAUGUCGGCUCAUCACAUCCUGGGGCUGAAGCCGGUCCCAAGGGUAUGGCUGUUCGCCAUUUAAAGUGGUACGCGAGCUGGGUUUAGAACGUCGUGAGACAGUUCGGUCCCUAUCUGCCGUGGACGUUUGAGAUUUGAGAGGGGCUGCUCCUAGUACGAGAGGACCGGAGUGGACGAACCUCUGGUGUUCCGGUUGUCACGCCAGUGGCAUUGCCGGGUAGCUAUGUUCGGAAAAGAUAACCGCUGAAAGCAUCUAAGCGGGAAACUUGCCUCAAGAUGAGAUCUCACUGGGAACUUGAUUCCCCUGAAGGGCCGUCGAAGACUACGACGUUGAUAGGCUGGGUGUGUAAGCGUUGUGAGGCGUUGAGCUAACCAGUACUAAUUGCCCGUGAGGCUUGACCAU